CCUACGGGUGGCAGCAGUGAGGAAUAUUGGUCAAUGGGCGAGAGCCUGAACCAGCCAAGUCGCGUGAAGGAUGACUGCCCUAUGGGUUGUAAACUUCUUUUGUCGGGGAAUAAAAGGCGCCACGUGUGGGAUUUUGUAUGUACCGUAUGAAUAAGGAUCGGCUAACUCCGUGCCAGCAGCCGCGGUAAUACGGAGGAGCCGAGCGUUAUCCGGAUUUAUUGGGUUUAAAGGGGGCGUAGGUGGGUUGUUAAGUCCGUUGUGAAAGUUUGGGGCUCAACCCUCAUAGUGCAGUUGAAACUGGCGGUCUAGAGUACGCUAGAGGUAUGCGGAAUGCGUGGUGUAGCGGUGAAAUGCAUAGAUAUCACGAAGAACCCCGAUUGCGAAGGCAGCUUACCGGUGCGCAACUGACGCUGAGGCACGAAAGCGUGGGUAUCGAACAGGAUUAGAUACCCGGGUAGUC
rnacentral:rRNA from 1 species